rnacentral:rRNA from 1 species
CAGUAGCCGCGGGAAUACCGAGGAUGCAAGCGUUAAUCGGAAUUACUGGGCGUAAAGCGCGCGUAGGUGGUUUGUUAAGUUGGAUGUGAAAGCCCCGGGCUCAACCUGGGAACUGCAUCCAAAACUGGCAAGCUAGAGUACGGUAGAGGGUGGUGGAAUUUCCUGUGUAGCGGUGAAAUGCGUAGAUAUAGGAAGGAACACCAGUGGCGAAGGCGACCACCUGGACUGAUACUGACACUGAGGUGCGAAAGCGUGGGGAGCAAACAGGAUUAGAUACCCCUGUAGUCCCUGUCUCUUAUAA